rnacentral:rRNA from 1 species
AAACCCCGCAAGGGGUAAGUAGAGUGGCAAACGGGUGAGUAACACGUGGGUGACCUGCCUUCGAGUGGGGGAUAACGUCCCGAAAGGGACGCUAAUACCGCAUGACAUCCUGCGUUUGGAAACGCGGAGAUCAAAGCCUGGGAUCGCAAGACCUGGCGCUUGGAGAGGGGCCCGCGCCUGAUUAGCUAGUUGGUGGGGUAACGGCCUACCAAGGCGACGAUCAGUAUCCGGCCUGAGAGGGCGGACGGACACACUGGGACUGAGACACGGCCCAGACUCCUACGGGAGGCAGCAGUGGGGAAUUGUUCGCAAUGGGCGCAAGCCUGACGACGCAACGCCGCGUGGAGGACGAAGAUCUUCGGG